CAGAGCCACGGUAAUACGUAGGGUGCAAGCGUUAAUCGGAAUUACUGGGCGUAAAGCGUGCGCAGGCGGUUAUAUAAGACAGAUGUGAAAUCCCCGGGCUCAACCUGGGAACUGCAUUUGUGACUGUAUAGCUAGAGUACGGCAGAGGGGGAUGGAAUUCCGCGUGUAGCAGUGAAAUGCGUAGAUAUGCUGAGGAACACCGAUGGCGAAGGCAAUCCCCUGGGCCUGUACUGACGCUCAUGCACGAAAGCGUGGGGAGCAAACAGGAUUAGAUACCCCUGUAGUCCCUGUCUCUUAUACA
rnacentral:rRNA from 1 species